rnacentral:rRNA from 1 species
AAUAUUGCGCAAUGGGGGAAACCCUGACGCAGCAACGCCGCGUGAGCGAAGAAGGCCUUCGGGUCGUAAAGCUCUGUCUUCUCUGACGAUAAUGACGGUAAGAGAGGAGGAAGCCACGGCUAACUACGUGCCAGCAGCCGCGGUAAUACGUAGGUGGCGAGCGUUGUCCGGAAUUACUGGGCGUAAAGGGUGCGUAGGCGGGAUAUUAAGUCAGAUGUGAAAACCCAGGGCUCAACUGUGGGACUGCAUUUGAAACUGAUAUUCUAGAGUGCAGGAGAGGGAAGCGGAAUUCCUAGUGUAGCGGUGAAAUGCGUAGAUAUUAGGAAGAACACCAGUGGCGAAGGCGGCUUCCUGGACUGUAACUGACGCUGAGGCACGAAAGCGUGGGGAGCAAACAGG